CUUAAAAAGAAAAUUAUAUCUGUUACACCACUAUUAUAAAAAAAAAAGAAAAAACAAAUAGGAUAUGAUAUAAGCAUAUUUGUAAGUUCUCUUUCUUCACUCUCCUGCUACACUCACAUACCUUUGGAUCACUUGCAAGGAUAUGAUAUAAGCAUAUUUAUGCACCUCAUGGCUUAAAUAUUACAUAUAAUAUUAAUAUGUAUGAUUAUAAUGUAAAAUAAAAAAUUCUAACUUACAGAGCUCAAUCUUUCAUUAGUUAGCAUUGAUAAUCGUAGACUAAGUUACUUUUUGUGACAAAAAUAGGUUGUGAAACAUGAGGGUACUACUGACGUUAUUCUUGCUCAUCCGUUCGUUUCUGUAACAUGAUAUAGAUUAUCCAUAAAUUUUAAAGGAAAUGUUUUGCUUCUUUUAGUUAUUUAAGGUCUAUUGUAUAGGCUUUGGAGGAGCCAUCUGAAACUAAGAUGUUAGCAAUGCAAGAAGGUCUUCUGACUCCUGGUCUUCUGUAGGGCUAUAAUUUUUGCAACUGACACCAACAAGAAUUCAAUGAGGAACCUCUUUGUCACUGGUGUUUCCCUUUUCUUAGGACAAUGCCAAAGAUAGAGGAAUGCCAUGAUGAGCUAAGAUUAAAACCUUUAGAGCAGAUAGCAUGAAUGAAGAGUUCUACUCCCUACCUUUCAAUCUCAACCGCUUCUUUCCUCCAUCACAGAAAAUUCUAAGGUGAUCCUGAGUAGUUGGUGGUGGCUCAUUGUCGUGUCUAGGGC